rnacentral:rRNA from 1 species
ACUACAUGUACAGGAUAGGUGGGAGGCUUUGAAACCAGGACGCCAGUUUUGGCGGAGCCAUCCUUGGGAUACCACCCUUGUAGUACUGGGACUCUAACCAUAGGCCAUGAAUCUGGUCUUGGGACACUGUCAGGUGGGCAGUUUGACUGGGGCGGUCGCCUCCCAAAAGGUAACGGAGGCGCUCAAAGGUUCUCGCAGUACGGUCGGAAAUCGUACGUAGAGUGUAAAGGCAAGAGAGAGCUUGAUUGCAAGACAUACAGGUCGAGCAAGGAUGAAAAUCGGACUUAGUGCGCCGGUGGGUCUGCGUGGAAGGGCCAUCCACCAACGGAUAAAGGCUCCGCUGGGGAUAACAGGCUUAUCUCCCCCAAGAGUCCAC